rnacentral:SRP_RNA from 1 species
CUGUGCUAGAUGGGGAGGUAGCGGUGCCCUGAACCUGCAAUCCGCUGUAGCAGGAUCGAACACCAUAUUGAGGCUCAGAGGCUGCGGAGCAGCCCCGUGUAAGUGGCGAUGAUAGUCGGGUCCUGCGCAAUGGAGAGUCAUGAACCCCGUCAGAUCCGGAAGGAAGCAGCGGUAAGUGAUAAACUUCAUGUGCCGUGGGAGUGCCUGGCUUGAGUUAACUGCAUGGGUAACGUCCGUGGAUCUGAGUCGAAUUAUGGCCGCACAG